AAAUUGAAGAGUUUGAUCAUGGCUCAGAUUGAACGCUGGCGGCAGGCCUAACACAUGCAAGUCGAGCGGAAACGAGUUAUCUGAGCCUUCGGGGAACGAUAACGGCGUCGAGCGGCGGACGGGUGAGUAAUGCCUAGGAAAUUGCCCUGAUGUGGGGGAUAACCAUUGGAAACGAUGGCUAAUACCGCAU
rnacentral:rRNA from 1 species